AAGGGUCUUGACAAUUAAUACAAGAAACCAGAAACCGUCCGAGCAGAGUAUGGGCCACACAGGAAUUGUGUGCUGGAAAUAGUUUGUUCCUAUCAACCCUCUAGGUUUCCAUCAGCUCGAGCCUCCAAAGUAGGCCCAAGUAUAGCCCCACAUAGAGCACAUUGCAAUAACUGAGUCCUGAGGUUUCCCGAGCCUGAAUCACCAUGGCUGUCCAUGAAUGGUCUAGCCAUAGCUAGUAAAUGGCACUCCUAGCCAGGAGACUUCCAAACUCCAAAACUCUUCUUUCAAAAGGAGUGUCACCCCAUCCAGGAAAGGCACAGGAACCAUCAACCCACAAUGCCUCCAUCUUCCCAGGGUAGUAAUAGGAAGUAAUAGGAAGUUUCUAAUUAAUCCUGGGUGUCAGCGCUAAAAUAUCACAAGGUACUGAGAGAAUGGGGUUAUGGGAAGCCCUAAACAAAAUAAUGGUGGCUUAUCCUAUUAAGAACAUCAAAAGAACAUCAUUUCUAAGCCCCUGUUACCAGCUGACCAUGUCUCCUGUAAACAUUAAUCCAUAAUCUCAGGUAUUUUGUAAGCAAAAUUAACUAGCUAAUUAACAGUGCAAACCUUUACAUGUCUACACAAAAGUAACUUCCAUUAUGUUCAACUGCUUAGCACAGGAAAUUCAUAGUUACGGUAAUAUAUAGAAGAGUUGUGUUAUAAAGGAAAAUCCCCUCUAUAACAACAACAAAAAAAUCUAUUAUGAAAGAAAAACCCAACACUGGAGCAAAAACUAAAAAAGAGUUGAGCUACAGAAAACGAAGAGUGCAAGGGUGCAACGACACCUACUGGUAGUAUUAGGUCACUGCAGUUAAGUUUACCAGCGCUGGGAUGUUUUUUUUCAUUUUUUUUCCUAAUUACAUUGCAGCCAGAAGGUAGCAAGUCUGCUACAUCCAUCUGCAACUGAUGGUUACUGACAGGCUCAUGGUAGGGAAGUGACAAUCAGAAGUGUCAGGGAUUUGAAGAGCAGGCGGUGAGCAAUCAGCAAAUUUGGUGCUGCAAGAGCAAAGUAUGUCGAUUUUGAAAUUCACAAGUGUAUUCAAAAGUGGCUUGGUGUUUUUUUGUUUUUCUAAAAUAGUGCAGCAUUUCCAGAGGCAAUAAAGAAUUCUGAACCAGGAUUAAAGGCAAGGUGAUCUGGCUGUCUAAUAUAUAAAACUAGAUGCAACCUAUGCCCCAAUGUGAUUUAUGGCUUGAGAGAGUUGACAAGCGAAUGACUCCACAACAGCACCAAGAGAGAAAUAUUUUUGCAGGAAAGGAGAAAGGUGGGAAUUAAUCAACCACCACCAUGGAUCAAAGAGCUGUGAAACCCUUCAUGACGGCACACAAAGGAAUUGAUGACAGCCAUUCACAGGGAGACGGUUAAGACUACUUUUCAAAAAUGGAUUUAUAGCCUGAUGUUAUAAAUCCAUUUUGAGCUAUGGUGGCUCAGCCAGAAGCAGCCAGAGAGUUGGCAUUUCCCUAUGUUCCUCUGCUGCAUCUCAACGCUUGCUUACUCAACGGUAGGUCCCACUGAACUGAGUGGGCCACUUUUAGGGCUUUUAAUAGUGCUGUUUUAACUGUCUGCAUUUUAAUGAAUUUAUUUUUUAUGCUGUUUUUUAUAAUUUAUUUGCUUUUUAACUAUUAUCUUGUCUAUGUUUUUAGCUUUCUGUAUGUUAUCUGUGUUGUUCUAGUUUUUUUUAAGCUGCCUUGAGUCCUGGUCUGGGAGAAAGGCAGGAUAUAAAUAAAUAUGGAUAUAAUCAUAAUAAGUACAGCAGCAGCUCUACCCUGUCAGGUGAGCAACCUCUGUCCAGUCCUGUAUUUUCUGCACAUGAGGUGGUGCCAUCUUUCCUCACUUUCCCUAGUGGCCUUGGGACCAUGAGGAUCACACAGUGUGGAUUAUCAUUAUGAAUGGCCCCGCUGGACCAGUGCAACCCCCCAGUGGGUGCGAGGUAGGGAGCCCAACACUAGAUGCUUUUCAACAUCUACAUGCAGCCGCUGGGAGAGAUCAUCAGGGGGUUUGGGCUGGGUGUCCAUCAAUAUGUGGAUGAUACCCAGCUCUACCUCUCUUUCAAAUCAGAACAAGUGAAGGCGGUGAAGGUCCUGUGUGAGUGUUUGGAGGCAGUUGGAGGAUGGAUGGUGGCUAACAGAUUGAGGUUGAAUCCUGACAAGACAGAAGUACUGUUUUGGGGGGACAGGGGGUGGGUGGGUGUGGGGGACUCCCUGGUCCUGAAUGGGGUAACUGUGCCCCUGAAGGACUAGGUGCGCAGCCUGGGAGUCAUUUUGGACUCACAGCUGUCCAUGGACGCGCAGGUCAAUUCUGUAUCCAGGGCAGCUGUCUACCAGCUCCACCUGGUACGCAGACUGUCUCGCCGGAGUGGUGCAUGCUCUGGUUAUCUCCCGCUUGGACUACUGCAAUGCGCUCUACAUGGGGCUACCUUUGAAGGUGACCCGGAAACUACAACUAAUCCAGAAUGCGGCAGCUAGACUGGUGACUGGGAGCAGCUGCAGAGACCACAUAACACUGGUCUUGAAAGACCUACAUUGGCUCCCAGUACGUUUCUGAGCAGAAUUCAAAGUGUUGGUCUGACCUUUAAAGCCCUAAAUGGCCUCAGUCCAGUAUAGCUGAAGGAGCAUCUCCACCCCCAUCAUUCUGCCCGGACACUAAGAGAAGCCAAGUUACAGGGAACCAGGCAGAGGGCCUUCUCUGUAGUGGCACCCGCCCUGUGGAACGCCCUCCCACCAGAUGUCAAAGACAACAACAACUACCAGACUUUUAGGCGACAUUUGAAGGCAGCCCUGUUUAGGGAAGCUUUUAAUGUUUGAUGCAUUAGAGUAUUUUAAUAUUGUGCUGGAAGCUGCCCAGAGUUGUUAUUAUUAUUAUGGAGCCAGAGGCAAUGGGAGGCAGAGCCAACUAAUUCUAGCCUCCUCUUCCCUGACAAAUUCUACAAAGGCCACAUGGAGACUAAGGAGGAGGGAAGCUGGAAGCGGAUGGGAGCUGCCUGAGGGCUAACUGAAGUUAGCAGGGCAGUGUCCCAGUUGCACUACUAGACCAGCCUGCCCUCUCACCUCCAUUAUCUUAUGAAUCCUGCUCGACCACACCGCUAUGCAAUGCUGCCACAGGAAGAUAACCUUCAGCCUAAGCAGCCUUCACCAGCAGUGCUGACCAGGGCUGAUGGGAGUUGUAGUCCGACAACAUCUGAAAGGCACUGAGUUGGUGAAGGUUGGCCUGCAACUUCCAUGACUUGAUCCAGACAUCCUUCCUGAAAUAUUAAGGGCCUGAGAAACCAAAACACCAGGCGACAGCAGAGUCUCCUGUCCUGGUGCUUCAAAGAUCCACUUGACCCAUAUCCCACCUUUCCCCAAGGAGCUCAAGGUGGUGUGCAUGGUUCUCGUCCUCUUCAUUUUACCCUCACAACGACCCUCUUGACCCUGAGAGAUUGUGACUGGCCCCAGGUCACCCAGUGAAGUUCAUGGCUGAGCAGGUCAUUGAACCCUGGCUUGCAGGUCCUAGUCCAACGCGCUUAACCACAUUUAAUCCUGAGCCGCCAACACAAUGCAGUGGAUCGUAAGAAUCAGCUGUGCCAUUUUAUGAGCAACGCCCUGUGUAACAUUGGGAAAUUGUCCUCCUAAGGGCAUAAUGGGGUUGGGCAGUUAACAAAGGAUAGUUAUUCAAAUUAGCACCUAUUGCCUGCAAUACUAGAAACGUCAACAAGGAUACAGUGUUGAAUGCAAUCCCAGAAAUAAAUCCCCAACCCUGCCCCACCAGGUGACUCUGAAAUCGGAAUUGAAUCCAGCUUGUGGGGUGGGGUGUGGGGGAGGCAGCCAGAGAAUGAGACCCUUGGAAGGAAGAAUCAAAAGAGCACAGCCCCAUCCCUCAUGCCAACAAACACUAUACACAUCCAGGAAUCUUUUGCCCACUGUGGGGCUCAAACCCACAACAAGGGGCUCCCCACUAUAAUCCUCACAACAAUCUUAUAAUGUAGGUCAGUAUUAUUCUGUAGCAGUGUAGGGACGGAGACAGUGGCUUGCCUAAGGGCAACGAAAGAGUUAACAAAUGAUGUGAGAUGUGAACUGCUCAGCCUCACAGAAGCCUUUGGGCAAAGCAGAGCUUUUGGAUGGGCUUUUACAAACUGUUCUCAAAUACGUUUCUCUGGUAAGGUUGCUUUUUUUAAAUAGUUUAUUGAAAGAGUGGUUUUGUUUGUUUGUUUUUAGGAUGGUUCAAGUGUCUUGCAUUUGCCCUUACGAAAGAGAGAGGGUGCGGGAACGAGAUGAUCCUUGUGGUCCCUUCCAACUCUACAAUUCUAUGAAUGCUCAAAGCACUGCAUCCAGGGUGGCCCUCCAGGUGUGAUUGGGCUACAAUUCCCAUCAUCCCAGGCCACUUUCCAUGCUGGCUGGGGCUGAUGAUAAGCUGGAAACCAAGAGCAUCUCAAAGGCCACAGGCACCCCAUUCUUGCACUCUGAAAAUGCUCAUGGUUGCUACGAAAAAAAGCUGACCAGCCAUUAUCAUGAACAAUGAUCUUCAGCAUUGUAUUUCCUUUUUAAUUGAGCAUUUUGACAAACGUUGCCUCAAAAGGAAGGUUGGCUGCCAUUUCCUCCCCCAAUAAUUUGUGUGCAUGUUUAAACCCUUCUCUUUUCAGCUGUGCAAGGGGGAAAGCUAAUCCAAUACGGCUCUAUGUCAGUGCUUAGAAUCAUUCAUUUAACAAGACAGUCUUUUCCACGAAUUAAUUAACUGGAUGUUCCCUCUCUGUUCCACCAAAUAUGAUGGCUAUUCCUCAUUCAGCAGCAUGAAGAGUUUCCUCACCGUUGCCUAGCUUCUAAAAGUGCAGCCCAAGCAGAUGAUUGUUCUCAGAGAGUGGAGGUGAAUGAGGGCAACUGUCCUACAUCUGACCUUGAAGAAGGGAGCAUGACAAAUAAUAUGUCUCGGCUUGUCUGACAGAUCUUAAUUUAAUGAAAUAAAAUCCACAGCGCAUGCU